AUUGAACGCUGGCGGCAUGCUUUACACAUGCAAGUCGAACGGUAACAGGCCGCAAGGUGCUGACGAGUGGCGAACGGGUGAGUAAUGCAUCGGAACGUGCCCAAUCGUGGGGGAUAACGCAGCGAAAGCUGCGCUAAUACCGCAUACGAUCUAUGGAUGAAAGCGGGGGACCGUAAGGCCUCGCGCGAUUGGAGCGGCCGAUGUCAGAUUAGGGAGUUGGUGGGGUAAAGGCUCACCAAGCCAACGAUCUGUAGCUGGUCUGAGAGGACGACCAGCCACACUGGGACUGAGACACGGCCCAGACUCCUACGGGAGGCAGCAGUGGGGAAUUUUGGACAAUGGGCGCAAGCCUGAUCCAGCAAUGCUGCGUGCAGGAAGAAGGCCUUCGGGUUGUAAACUGCUUUUGUACGGAACGAAACGGUCCUGGUUAAUACCUGGGGCUAAUGACGGUACCGUAAGAAUAAGCACCGGCUAACUACGUGCCAGCAGCCGCCGUAA
rnacentral:rRNA from 1 species